ensembl:lncRNA
UUAAGCAUACACUCCAGCCUCAGCGAGCUUGGCGUCUGCACACCUGCCGCUGGCAGACCCUCCUCCAGGCACCUGCCCUGGGCCCCGCCCCGCCCGGUCCGCGCGCACGCGCAGUGGCCCCACCUCGCUCCGCCCCGCGGCGCCCGAGGACCCAACGGAGCUACACCCGCUCGUUCAGCCAAGAGGCCCUGCGCGGCUCCAGGGAGAGCUGGGUGGUUAUGCUACCUCAUUAGACACAUUGGUGGACGAUGCCGCGGAUUAGCGGGUGCGAGUGAUUCAAGGAAAUCCCACUGGAGGGAACACACGCUGCGAUGCACCCUCUCCUCUUCCAUUGAGCCAGGGGUGACCUUGAGAGACUCAGGCCACCUCACCAGGCUCUACCAGGAACAGCAUCUAGAGCUGGUAGACAGCGCGGGCUGCAGAGAGGUAAAGAUGGGGUUCGGAAGCCAAGGCUCCCCUUGUUGCAUGGGUGACAUCAGGCAAGCUACUCAACUUCUAACCCUGGCUUCCCCUUCUGCAUACUGGAGACAGUCUCGACCCCACAGUCACUUGUGGAGCAAGUGGGUUUGAGCUGAGCUCCUCUGAAAAUCAGAGGCACUCAGAGAGUAGCUCAGAAAACCAGGAUGUGUCAGUUUCAUUCGCCAGGAAGCAGAAGCCAAGAUAGAAUUAGAGGUGCAAUGUCUGUGAAGGAAGAAUAAAGGGAAAAGGAAACAGGAGUGGGGCAGGGGGCAGACCAAAAGGAAGACUGACAAGUGUGAGAAGGAGCCCCACAGUGCAGUGUAAGCUCGAGAAGGUGUGGAGGGGAUGGGAGUCACUCACUGGGCAGGAAUGGCCCAGCUCCAGCACCUUGCUAUGGCCAGCCAUCUGCUGGGAACAGGCCAGGAAGAGUGUGGCCUUGGCGUAAACACUGGGGUGGAUCCCGAGAUGAAGGUGUGGCCGCUGGAAGCUGUCACUUCACCACUCCUCUUCUGAAGAGAGAGCUGAGCCCUGCACAUGGGAGCAUUGGGGAAAAGAGUGGUAGACGUUUAUCAGUAACCUUACUGGUUUUGUGCUCCAUCCUCCAUCUCCCAAAGUCUCCCUGACCUUGCCUUCAGCUCCAGGAAUGGCCACAUGACUCAGACAAAGCCAACCAGCCAUCCCAUUUCAGUGGCCAGCGAUGAAUGAUUCAGUGUUUACCCAAACGCAUCCAAUCAGGGUGAAUCUGAGGACAUUUGCUGGGGAGGCUGGGACACAGAUAAUCUCUUUUCUGACAGAUGGUAACAAGAAAGUAGGUAGCUGCAGGGGCUGCUGGCAGCCAUCUUGAGACAUGAAAGGUAUCCAAAUUGGGAUGAAUUCAGCAUUGAGGAUGGGGGUGCAGAGAAACAGGAGACAGGGCCUUUGAUCACAUUGUUGGAUGGCUGGUUAAGCCUCUCCUGAAAUCCAUUCUACUGCUGGACUUUACAGUUCAUAAACUAAUAAAUCCUCUUUACUGUUUGAAGCAGUUGUGUCAGGUGUCCUGUUACGUAUAAGAAAGGCCUCCGAUUUGAUCAGCAAUAGGGAACUGGAUGUCCUCUGAGCUCCAUAAGUCAGCACAGGCCUAAUGCUCAGGCCUUAUGGAGCCUCGGACUGAUGAAAGGGUGGUAUGGGCAUCCAUGGCUGCUUUUGGGACCUCAGGGGAGCAGUGUGUGAAUGUUCAUUUCAGAGUAAUGACAGCAACUCCACGUGUCUGCAUCCUUUUACGCCCAGCCACUCCCUUUCCCAUGACCAGCUGCUGUCUUUACCCUCUCGCCUGUAUCUUUUCUCCAUUACAUAGAUCCUCCUAACUCACACUUCUUCCUCCUUCCUGAGUUGAGUUUGCAAGACUGAUUCCAGAUUCACCUUGUGAUUUUCCUAACGCAUCUCUUACCUUCAAUAACUUCCAAGGGCCUGAUCCUCUCUUCAUUUCCCAAUUCAAAUUUCUGGGAGCAGGACUUGGAUUAUCCCAGCUCUUGCCUAUUUAGACAACCUCAGAGAUUCUAUUUCCACUGUCUGUGGAGGGGACUGAGUAUUGGUACUUUUGAAAAGUUUCUUGGAUGGUUCAAGUGUGCAGCCAGAGUCAAGAACCUCUGGAUUAGUAAAGCUUUCCAGGCCAGCUGACCCCACAGUCGGCCCUUGGGUCAAGUUCAAGCUCAAUCCAGUCAGCUAAGAGCAGAGCCACAGGGUCUCACUAUGCCCAAAGUCCCUUCCAUUGGCAGAAUAUGUGGCUACAGAAGGAGUGAGAGGAGGCCAGGCACAGUGGCUCAUGCCUGUAAUCCUAGCACCUUGGGAGGCCAAGGCAGGUGGAUCACCUGAGGUCAGGAGUUUGAGACCAGCCUGGCCAACAUGGCAAAACCCCGUCUCUACUAAAAAUACAAAAAUUAGCCAGACGUGGUGGCACACGCCUGUAAUCCCAGCUACUCGGGAGGCUGAGGCAGUAGAAUUGCUUGAACCCAGGAGGCAGAGGUUGCAGUGAGCUGAGAUCGUGCCACUGCAUUCUAGCCUGGCAACAGAGUGAGACUCUGUCUCAAAAAAAAAAAAAAAAAGGAGUGAGAGGAGACAGGCCGCGCUUGACAUGCUGAGGACAAACAAGCCUAGCACAGUGCUUGGCAUCAUGCAGUCGCUCAACAAAUGACAGAUGUUAUUACAUUCCUGUCUCUUCUGUAAUUCAAGGGGAUGCAGUCGGCCCUCCGUAUCCUGGGGUUUCACAUCCAUGACUUAAAACAACCACAGACUGAAAAUAUUCAGAUAAAUAAUAAAAUACAAUAAAAAAAUGCAUAUUUUAAAAAUAAUAUAGUAUACUAACAAUUUCCAUAGCAUUUAC